rnacentral:lncRNA from 1 species
UUUUACUGCAAAAAUAUGCACGUUUUCCUUUCUGCUAUCCAUACACUUCAAUAAGAUUUGAAGUAAUUUAAAAAGUGUGAGCCACCACGCCCAGCCGAGGUUUUCUUUUCACACAAUUCUUUGUUUAUUAUUUUUAUUUUUGUAGAGACAGGGUCUCACUCUAUUGCCGAGGCUGGAGUGCAGUUGCACAAUCGUAACUCACUGCAGCCUCAAACUCCAGGCUCAAGUGAUCUUUCUGCUUCAGCCUGCUGAGUAACUGGGACCACAGGCUUGCAACACCACACCCAGCUAAUUCUUGGGGCUUUGUUGUUGCUUUUUAUUUGUUUGUUUUUUAAAAAUAAUUUUAACUUAUUUUAGAUUCACAGGGUACAUGUGCAGGUUUGUCACCUGGGUAUAUUGCCUGAUGCUGAGGUUGGGGUAUGAUUGAUCACAUCACCCAGGUACUACACAUAGUACCUAAUAGUUUUUCAGCCCGCCCUGCUCUUUGUGUGUGUGUGUGUGUGUGUGUGUGUGUGUGUGUUUUGAGCUGGAGCCUCACCCUGUCUCCCAGGCUGGAGUGCAGUGGCGCAAUCUUAGCUCACUGCAAACUCUGCCUCCUGGGUUGAAGCAAUUCCCCUCCCUCAGCCUCCCGAGUAGCUGGGAUUACAGAUGUGUACCACCACACCUGGCGUUGCCAUCUUUAUGUACGUGAGUACCCAUGUUUAGCUCCCACUUAUAAAUGAAAACAUGUAGUAUUUGGUUUGCUGUUCCUGCAUUAGUUUGCUUAGAAUAAUGGCCUUCAACUGCAUCCAUGUUGCUGCAAAGGACAUGAUUUCAUUCCUUUUUAUGGCUGCAAAAUUUUUUAAUAUUUUUGUAUCAAUGAGGUCUCACUGUGUUGCCCAGACUGGUCUCAAACUUUGGCCUCAAGCAUUCCUUGCACCUCAGCCUCACAAAGUCCUGAGAUUAUACCUGGGAGCCACUGCACCCAGCCCUUUGAUGCAGUUCUAACAAUGACACCAGUCUUUUUUUUUUUUUUCUUUUUUGUUUCCCUUUUAGAGACAGGGUUUCACUCUGUUGCCUAGGCUGGAGUGCAGUGGAGUGAUCAUAGCUCACUACAGCCUUCAAUUCCUGAGCUCAAGCGAUCCUCCUGCAUCAGCUUUCGGAGUACCUAGGAGUAUAAACAUGAGCCACUACACCCAACUAAUGUUUUUGGUUGGUGUUUUUUUUUUUUCUUUAAGAGAUAGGGUUGGCCGGGCCCGGUGGCUGGCUCACACCUGUAAUCCCAGCACUUUGGGAGGCUGAGGCAGGUGGAUCACAACGUCAAGGGAUUGAGACCAUCCUGGCCAACAUGGUGAAACCCCAUUUCUGUUAAAACUACAAAAAUUAGCUGGGCAUGGUGGCGAGCGCCUGUAAUCCCAGCUACUCAGGAGGCUGAGGCAGGAGAAUCACUUGACCCAGGAAGCGUAGGUUGUAGUGAGCUGAGAUCGUGCCACUGUACUCCAGCCUGGGCGACAGAGCAAGACUCUGUCUCAAAAAAAAAAAAAAGAUGUGGUCUUGCCAUGUUGCCCAGGCUGGUCUCAAACUCCUAGGCUCAAGUGAUCUUCCUGCCUUGGUUCCCAAAGUGCUGAGAUUACAGCUGUGAGCCACUGCACCUGACCUUUUUUUUUUCCCCCCUCCUUUUUUUUUUGAGACAGGUUCUCACUCUGUCACCCAGGCUGAAGUGCAGUGGCAUUUGAGGUCAGUCUCACCUUGACCUCCCCAGGCUCAAACAAUCCUCCCGCCUCAGCCUCCUGAGCAGCUGGGACUACAAGCAUGUGCCACCAUCCCUGGCUGAUUUUUUAAAUUUGUUGUAGAGAUGAGGUCUCACUAUGUUGCCCAGGCUGGUCUUGAACUCUUGGGCCCAAGCGAUCCUCCCGCCUCAGUGCUGAGAUUGCAGUGGUAAGCCACCAUGUCCAGCCAACUCUUUAAUAAUAGGCAGUUCUGACUGGUGUAAGUUCUGACUGGUAUCUCACUGUGGUUUUAAUUUGCAUCUCUGAUGAUUAGUGAUGUUGGGCAUUUUUUCAUGGGUUUUUUGUUUGUUUGUUUUGAGACAAAGUCUUGUUCUGUUGCCCAGGCUGGAGUGCAGUAGUGUGAUCUCAGCUCACUGCAGCCUCCACCUCCCGGGUUCAAGCCAUUGUCCAGCCUCUGCCUCCUAAGUAGCUGGAAUUACAGGUGGCUGCCACCACACCCAGCUAAUUUUUUUAGUUUUAGUAGAGACAGGGUUUCUCCAUGUUGGCCAGGCUGGUCUCAAACUCCUGACCUCAAGUGAUCCACCCACCUCGGCUUCCCAAAGUGCUGGGAUUAUAGGUGUGAGCCACCGCGCCCGGCCCUCAUGGGUUGUUUUGUUUUGUUUUGAGACGGAAUCUCACCCUGUCACCCAGGCUGCAGUGCAAUCUCAUGAUCUCCACUUACUGCAACCUCCACGUCCUGGGUUCAAGUGAUACUCCUGCCUCAGCCUCCCGAGUAGCUGGGACUACAGGCGUGCACCCACGCCUGGCUAAUUUUUAUAUUUUUAGUAGAGAUGGGGUUUCACCAUGUUGGUCAGGCUGGUCUGGAACUCCUGACCUCAGGUGAUCCACCUGCCUCGGUCUCCCAAAGUGCUGGGAUUACAGACGUGUAUACACAAGACACAAAGAUCAGCUCAGGAUGGGUCAUAGGCCUAAUGGUAAAAGGUAAAACUAUGAAGCAGGCUGGGCAUGAUGUCUCAUAGCUAUAAUCCUAACACUCUAGGAGGCCAAAGCUGGAGGACACUGUAGCCCAGAAGUGUGAGACCAGCCCACACAGCAUAGUGAAGCCCCGUCUGUACAAAAAAACAAUAUU